CAUAGCGACUAUCGUGGCAUAUCAAUAAGCGGAGGAAAAGAAACUAACAAGGAUUCCCCUAGUAACGGCGAGUGAAGCGGGAAGAGCUCAAAUUUGAAAUCUUAAAGGUUCUACCUUGACGAAUUGUAGUUUAUAGAAGUGUUUUCUGUUAGUAGAGUGGCAAAAGUUCUUUGGAAUAGGACAUCAUAGAGGGUGAGAAUCCCGUAUUUGGUCAUUCUUUCUAGCUUUGUGAUACACUUUCAACGAGUCGGAUUGUUUGGGAAUGCAGUCCAAAAUGGGUGGUAAAUUUCAUCUAAAGCUAAAUAUUGGCGAGAGACCGAUAGCGAACAAGUACCGUGAGGGAAAGAUGAAAAGAACUUUGAAAAGAGAGUUAAACAGUACGUGAAAUUGUCAAAAGGGAAGCGUUUGACACCAGUGUUGUUUUUCCGAAAAUCAAUUACGAAUGUUUUAUUUUUGAGAAGUUAUGACUUCAUCGGCUUGCUUCUCUCUUUAUGAAACUUUCUUAAUGCACUUUUCGGUUAACAAGUCAACAUCAAUUUCUUUUGUUGUAAAAGGGUAUGAGGAAGGUGGCUUUCUUUUCGGAGAAAGUGUUUAUAGCCUUUGAUCUCUGCAACCGGAGAGACUGAGGUCUGCAGCGUAGACUCUUCGGGGUUAAAUACAUUUGUGCUAAGCUAUAGCUUUUUAUAGACAACUUGUUGACUAUAUUUAGUCUUGUGGCUUACUCGCUUAUGCUAUUUUACCUACGCUUAGGAUGUUGAUAGUCACAGCGUGUAC
rnacentral:rRNA from 1 species